AGUUUAAACCAUGCAAACAACCGUCGACAAUAGAGAAGAGAAAUACGGAUAUUUAGAAAUACAGACAACUUUGACUAUGGAUACCUGAAUUAUUGAUAUUUGAACUACGGAUAUUUGAGCUACAGGACAUUUGAACUACGACAAAAAAGAUCCCUCCCACGAAGCUUCCUUGACAGAUGAUCUCCUGUUGAAGGAAGAAGGAAGACUCUUUUCUCUUGUGUUUUGUACGCUGCUGGAAUCCUGACUGGUUUUUUAGUACCCCGAACAACCCCCCUUGCUACACCGUUUGGAACCCUUGGAUACCCCCUUUGGAUUGCCCCCAUCAUCGCCCUGGAUUUGGAUUCAUCAUCAUCGCCUCUACAUUAACUUGCCCCUGUGAUUGUGGUAGGAUCUGGACAUUGCACCUUGCACAGAUUGGAAGACUGAAUCAUUCCCCCUUUUCUUUUCUUUAUUAUUUUCUUUGAGUGCACUCAUACUUUAUUUUGGAUUAUUUUCUUUAGUUUGUUAGUGUAGAAUAUGGCUGCAUAAGUAAUAUAUUAGAAGGGUAUAAAAUAGAAUAUAGAUAGAUAUAGACAAUAAAUAGAAUAUUAGGAAGAACUUUUAAAAAGUAUAACAGAGUAAAAUAUAUAUAUAUAUAACACAUCUAAUUUAGUACUGAUAUUGAAAUAUCUUUACUUUGAACUGUUGAAAUAAAUUGGUUUUUUUUAUUGUAAACUAUACCCACGAGUGUGUGUGUUGUCUUUGGGGUGAGUACUAGAAUCUGGUCUAGAAAAAAACCUACACCACUCUCCACUGAACUUAGACAUUAGACUGUAAACUGUCCCUGCGCAAGCAUAGGCCCAUUCCCCUGUCGUGCAGGUUACAGAUGCAAGUGAAAGUAACUCUGUGGGUUAUAGGGAUGGAUAAAGGAAGAAAGAACCACAUCCUUUUACACGCCUAACAUUAAAGCUUGAAGUGAUGGGAGAUGCUGAUGUUUUACGGCUUCUUCUUCCUGCCUGCUGGCUUUGUCUCUUUUUCAGUUUCAGGUUGGAGGUAGGGGAGGAGGCCUGAUUGCAGCUGAUUUAGUACACCUGUCCUGGGGCCUUUUUAAGCUGGGGCCUACAAAGCAGUUGGGAUUCCUCUCUCCGACCAGCACAUUGUUUUGUUUUGUGUUUUUUUUUUUUACUUUAUUCUUUGGUAGCAUUUUUUGAAGAACUUUAUUAUCUUUAUUUUUACACCUAACAACAUCCCGCAGACUGACUGACCAUACAUCCACUCCCUUACAUCACUGAUUUACACAUCUCAUACUCUUUUUGUGAAUAUUAAUCUUUUUUUUUGUAUUAUUAAAUAUUUU